GCUUUCGUUCCACUGGCACCACAUUUGCUCAGGCCAAUCUACACCCCAUGGCCAUUAAAAGUUAUUCAAAUCAUGACGCUGCACCCCACGGUUUAGGUUCUAGGGGGCGCCAAAGAUAACCCUAAAAUCCACAUAUUUAAAAGUCUUAUAACUUUUUAUUUUUGUCCUCACUGGCCUCCAUGUUUUAUAGGAUGAUGCAAUGUCCAGCCAUCAACACAUUUGUGAAGGAGUUUUUUCUCGUUAAAUGAGCGCCCCCCCAUGGCAGGAGAAUAAAGUCAAGUUUUUCCUGUUCAUCAUUCAAUGGCUCAAACGCACUGCUCUCUCGGCAAAAGCGAAAGGAGGAGCAACUUGCCAUUUGGAUAUAUCUUAGCUGUGUUUGUGCCCUCACUCAUGGUCCAGACUUUUUUCAAAUAGGACAUGGAGUUUUUCUGCAGCGAGCGUUUUGGUAGAAACUGCGCCUCCCGUUCAUUAUAAUGGUAAAUGACCACAAACAAGUGCGCACACCAUCUUUGGACCUUGAGUGUGACGCGAUCGGGUGGGGGAGGCGGUCGUGCUGGGGGCAGCGUGACACGGCUCGGGCCCGCCAGUGCCCCAACGGGGCCCUAGUUGUUUCUUUUUAGGGCCCGAGCGUAGCUGCUAAGCAGCUGCGAGAGCCCUCUUGUUCCUGCAUGUUUCCUUCUUUUGUUAUUAGGGCCCGAGCCAGCUGCAGAGCAGCCGGGCGUAGAGCCCUAUUAUUCCUGUAUAGGUUUUUCUUUCUUCUUUCUUUCUUUCUUUCUUCUUAUUUUUCCUCCCCUUUGAAGGGGAAAAUGGCCCACUUUCCACUGGCGAAAACUCAUGAAAUUUGGCAGGACGACCGGGCCUGGUGAAAAAUUCGAUAUUCUGAAGUCGCCCAAACAAUAAAAUGCAAAAUGGCUCCAUAGCGCCCCCUAAGGUGAAAAUUUACACUAUUGACUGUCACGCCUGUACGCUUUGUCAUAUUGACACAAAAUUUGACACACACAUGUAUCUCAAUAAGAUCUACAAAAAAGUCAGUGCGGGCGUAUCUGUCAAAUGUACGGUUAAAGGGUUAUUUCGCAUUUUUUGCUGAUCCGCACACAUUGGAAUUUCGCUAACUCCUCCGAAGGCUUUCGUUCCACCGGCACCACAUUUGCUCAGGCCAAUCUACACCCCAUGGCCAUUAAAAGUUGUACAAAUCAUGACGCUGCACCCCACAGUUUAGGUUCUAGGGGGCGCCAAAGAUAACCCAAAAAUCCACAUUUUUAAAAGUCUUAUAACUUUUUAUUUUUGUCCUCACUGGCCUCCAAGUUUUCUAGGAUGAUGCAAUGUCCAGCCAUCAACACAUUUGUGAAGGAAUUUUUACUCCCCAAAAGAGCGCCCCCCCAUGGCAAGAGAAAAAAGUCCAUUUUUCUUGUCCCACAAGGUGAAAAUACACAUUGUUGAGUGUCACGCCUGUACGCUUUGUCAUAUUGAAACAAAAUUUGACAAUCACGUGUAUCUCAAUAAGAUCUACGAAAAAGUCAAUAGGCACGUAUCUGUAAAAUGUACGGUUAAAGGGCUAUUACGCAUUUUUGAUCGAUUCGCACACAUUGGAAUGUGGCUAUCUCCUCCUAAAGCUUUCGUUCCACCGGCACCAAAUUUGCUCAGGCCAAUCUACACCCCAUGGCCAUUCAAAGUUGUACAAAUCAUGACGCUGCACCCCACGGUUUACGUUCUAGGGGGCGCCAAAGAUAACCCAAAAAUCCACAUUCUUAAAAGUCCUAUAACUUUUCAUUUUUGUCCUCACUGGCUUCCAGGUUUCCUAGGAUGAUGCAAUGUCUAGCCAUCAACACAUUUGUGAAGGAAUUUUUACUCCUCAAAAGAGCGCCCCCCCAUGGCAGGAGAAAAAGUCAAGUUUUUCCUGCCCAUCGCUCAAUGGCUCAAACACAUGUCAUGUGUUCAAACUCCUCCGAAAGGAGGAGCAACUUGCCAUUUGGAUAUAUCCUAGCUGUGUUUGUGCCCUCACUCAUGGUCCAGACUUUUUUCAAAUAGGACAUGUAGUUUGUCUGCAGCAAGCGUUUUGGUAGAAACUGCGCCUCCCAUUCAUUAUAAUGGUAAAUGACCAGAGACAAGUGCACACACCAUCUUUGGACCUUGAGUGUGACGCUAUCGGGAGGGGUAGGUGGUCGCGCUGGGAGCGGCGCGACACGGCUCGGGCCCGCCAGUGCCCCAACGGGGCCCUAGUUAUUAUUUUUCCUCCCCUUUGAACUGGAAAAUGGCCCACUUCCCACUGGCGAAAACUCAUGAAAUUUGGCAGGACGACCGGGCCUGGUGAAAAAUUUGAUAUUCCGAAGUCGCCCAAACAAGAAAAUGCAAAAUGGCUCCAUAGCGCCCCCUAAGGUGAAAAAUUCACCUGACGCCUGUACGCUUUGUCAAAAUGACACAAAAAUUGACACACACAUGUAUCUCAAUAAGAUCUACAAAAAAGUCAAUGCGCACGUAUCUGUCAAAUGUACGGUUAAAGGGUUAUUGCGCAUUUUUUGCCGAACCGCACACAUUGGAAUUUCGCUAACUCCUCCGAAGGCUUUCGUUCCACCGGCACCACAUUUGCUCAGGCCAAUCUACACCCCAUGGCCAUUAAAAGUUAUUCAAAUCAUGACGCUGCACCCCACGGUUUAGGUUCUAGGGGGCGCCAAAGAUAACACUAAAAUCCACAUAUUUCAAAGUCUUAUAACUUUUUAUUUUUUUCCUCACUGGCCUCCAAGUUUUCUAGGAUGAUGCAAUGUCCAGCCAUCAACACAUUUGUGAAGGAAUUUUUACUCCCCAAAAGAGCGCCCCCCCAUGGCAGGAGAAAAAAGUCCAUUUUUUCUUGUCCCCUAAGGUGAAAAUACACAUUGUUGAGUGUCACGCCUGUACGCUUUGUCAAAAUGACACAAAAAUUGACACACACAUGUAUCUCAAUAAGAUCUACAAAAAAGUCAAUGGGCGCGUAUCUGUCAAAUGUACGGUUAAAGGGUUAUUCCGCAUUUUUUGCCGAUUCGCACACAUUGGAAUUUCGCUAACUCCUCCGAAGGCUUUCGUUCCACCGGCACCACAUUUGCUCAGGCCAAUCUACACCCCAUGGCCAUUAAAAGUUAUUCAAAUCAUGACGCUGCACCCCACGGUUUAGGUUCUAGGGGGCGCCAAAGAUAACACUAAAAUCCACAUAUUUCAAAGUCUUAUAACUUUUUAUUUUUGUCCUCACUGGCCUCCAAGUUUUCUAGGAUGAUGCAAUGUCCAGCCAUCAACACAUUUGUGAAGGAAUUUUUACUCCCCAAAAGAGCGCCCCCCCAUGGCAGGAGAAAAAAGUCCAUUUUUUCUUGUCCCCUAAGGUGAAAAUACACAUUGUUGAGUGUCACGCCUGUACGCUUUGUCAAAAUGACACAAAAAUUGACACACACAUGUAUCUCAAUAAGAUCUACAAAAAAGUCAAUGGGCGCGUAUCUGUCAAAUGUACGGUUAAAGGGUUAUUCCGCAUUUUUUGCCGAUUCGCACACAUUGGAAUUUCGCUAACUCCUCCAAAGGCUUUCGUUCCACCGGCACCACAUUUGCUCAGGCCAAAUUACACCCCAUGGCCAUUAAAAGUUAUUCAAAUCAUGACGCUGCACCCCACGGUUUACGUUCUAGGGGGCGCCAAAGAUAACCCAAAAAUCCAAAUUUUUAAAAGUCUUAUAACUUUUUAUUUUUGUCCUCACUGGCCUCCAAGUUUUCUAGGAUGAUGCAAUGUCCAGCCAUCAACACAUUUGUGAAGGAAUUUUUACUCCCUAAAAGAGCGCCCCCCCAUGGCAGGAGAAAAAAGUCCAUUUUUUCUUGUCCCCUAAGGUGAAAAUACACAUUGUUGAGUGUAACACCUGUACGCUUUGGCAAAAUGACACAAAAAUUGACACACACAUGUAUCUCAAUAAGAUCUACAAAAAAGUCAAUGCGCGCGUAUCUGUCAAAUGUACGUUUAAAGGGCUAUUUUGCAUUUUUUGCCGAUUCGCACACAUUGGAAUGUGGCUAACUCCUCCUAAGGCUUUCGUCCCACUGACACCAAAUUUGCUCAGGCCAUUCUACACCCCAUGGCCAUUCAAAGUUGUAAAAAUCAUGACGCUGCACCCCACGGUUUACGUUCUAGGGGGCGCCAAAGAUGACCCAAAAAUCCACAUUCUUAAAGGAAUCCACAUCCCCCCCAAGGCAGGAGAAAAAGUCAAGUUAACCCUGCCCAUCGCUCAAUGGCUCAAUCGCAUCGCUCUCCAGGCAACACCGUAAGGAGGAGCAACCUGCCAUUUCGAUAUAUCAUAGCUGUGUUUGUGCCCUCACUCAUGGUCCAGACUUUUUUCAAAUAGGACAUGAAGUUUGUCUGCAGCGAGUGUUUUGGUAGAAACUGCGCCUCCCAUUCAUUAUAAUGGGAAAUGACCACAGACAAGUGCGCACACCAUCUUUGGACCUUGAGUGUGACGCGAUCGGGAGGGGGAGGCGGUCGCGCUAGGGGCGGCGCGACGCGGCUCGGGCCCGACAGUGCCCCACCGGGGCCCUAGUUAGGGCCCGAGCGUAGCUGCUAAGCAGCUGCGAGAGCCCUCUUGUUCCUGUAGUUUCCUUCUUUUGUUAUUAUUAUUAUUAUUUUUCCUCCCCUUUGAACUGGAAAAUGGCCCACUUCCCACUGGCGAAAACUCAUGAAAUUUGGCAGGACGACCGGGCCUGGUGAAAAAUUUGAUAUUCCGAAGUCGCCCAAACAAGAAAAUGCAAAAUGGCUCCAUAGCGCCCCCUAAGGUGAAAAUUCACACUAUUCACUGUCACGCCGGUACGCUUUGUCAAAAUGACACAAAAAUUGACACACACAUGUAUCUCAAUAAGAUCUACAAAAAAGUCAGUGCGGGCGUAUCUGUCAAAUGUACGGUUAAAGGGUUAUUUCGCAUUUUUUGCCGAUCCGCACACAUUGGAAUUUCGCUAACUCCUCCGAAGGCUUUCGUUCCACCGGCACCACAUUUGCUCAGGCCAAUCUACACCCCAUGGCCAUUAAAAGUUAUUCAAAUCAUGACGCUGCACCCCACGGUUUAGGUUCUAGGGGGCGCCAAAGAUAACCCUAAGAUCCACAUAUUUAAAAGUCUUAUAACUUUUUAUUUUUGCCCUCACUGGCCUCCAAGUUUUCUAGGAUGAUGCAAUGUCCAGCCAUCAACACAUUUGUGAAGGAAUUUUUACUCCCCAAAAGAGCGCCCCCCAUGGCAGGAGAAAAAAGUCCAUUUUUUCUUGUCCCCUAAGGUGAAAAUACACAUUGUUGAGUGUAACACCUGUACGCUUUGGCAAAAUGACACAAAAAUUGACACACACAUGUAUCUCAAUAAGAUCUACAAAAAAGUCAAUGCGCGCGUAUCUGUCAAAUGUACGUUUAAAGGGCUAUUUUGCAUUUUUUGCCGAUUCGCACACAUUGGAAUGUGGCUAACUCCUCCUAAGGCUUUCGUCCCACUGACACCAAAUUUGCUCAGGCCAAUCUACACCCCAUGGCCAUUCAAAGUUGUAAAAAUCAUGACGCUGCACCCCACGGUUUACGUUCUAGGGGGCGCCAAAGAUGACCCAAAAAUCCACAUUCUUAAAGGAAUCCACAUCCCCCCCAAGGCAGGAGAAAAAGUCAAGUUAACCCUGCCCAUCGCUCAAUGGCUCAAUCGCAUCGCUCUCCAGGCAACACCGUAAGGAGGAGCAACCUGCCAUUUCGAUAUAUCAUAGCUGUGUUUGUGCCCUCACUCAUGGUCCAGACUUUUUUCAAAUAGGACAUGAAGUUUGUCUGCAGCGAGUGUUUUGGUAGAAACUGCGCCUCCCAUUCAUUAUAAUGGGAAAUGACCACAGACAAGUGCGCACACCAUCUUUGGACCUUGAGUGUGACGCGAUCGGGAGGGGGAGGCGGUCGCGCUAGGGGCGGCGCGACGCGGCUCGGGCCCGACAGUGCCCCACCGGGGCCCUAGUUAGGGCCCGAGCGUAGCUGCUAAGCAGCUGCGAGAGCCCUCUUGUUCCUGUAGUUUCCUUCUUUUGUUAUUAUUAUUAUUAUUUUUCCUCCCCUUUGAACUGGAAAAUGGCCCACUUCCCACUGGCGAAAACUCAUGAAAUUUGGCAGGACGACCGGGCCUGGUGAAAAAUUUGAUAUUCCGAAGUCGCCCAAACAAGAAAAUGCAAAAUGGCUCCAUAGCGCCCCCUAAGGUGAAAAUUCACACUAUUCACUGUCACGCCGGUACGCUUUGUCAAAAUGACACAAAAAUUGACACACACAUGUAUCUCAAUAAGAUCUACAAAAAAGUCAGUGCGGGCGUAUCUGUCAAAUGUACGGUUAAAGGGUUAUUUCGCAUUUUUUGCCGAUCCGCACACAUUGGAAUUUCGCUAACUCCUCCGAAGGCUUUCGUUCCACCGGCACCACAUUUGCUCAGGCCAAUCUACACCCCAUGGCCAUUAAAAGUUAUUCAAAUCAUGACGCUGCACCCCACGGUUUAGGUUCUAGGGGGCGCCAAAGAUAACCCUAAGAUCCACAUAUUUAAAAGUCUUAUAACUUUUUAUUUUUGCCCUCACUGGCCUCCAAGUUUUCUAGGAUGAUGCAAUGUCCAGCCAUCAACACAUUUGUGAAGGAAUUUUUACUCCCCAAAAGAGCGCCCCCCCAUGGCAGGAGAAAAAAGUCCAUUUUUUCUUGUCCCCUAAGGUGAAAAUACACAUUGUUGAGUGUAACACCUGUACGCUUUGGCAAAAUGACACAAAAAUUGACACACACAUGUAUCUCAAUAAGAUCUACGAAAAAGUCAAUGCGCGCGUAUCUGUCAAAUGUACGGUUAAAGGGUUAUUCCGCAUUUUUUGCCGAUCCGCACACAUUGGAAUUUCGCUAACUCCUCCGAAGGCUUUCGUUCCACCGGCACCACAUUUGCUCAGGCUAAUCUACACCCCAUGGCCAUUAAAAGUUAUUCAAAUCAUGACGCUGCACCCCACGGUUUAGGUUCUAGGGGGAGCCAAAGAUAACCGUAAAAUCCACAUAUUUAAAAGUCUUAUAACUUUUUAUUUUUGUCCCCACUGGCCUCCAAGUUUUCUAGGAUGAUGCAAUGUCCAGCCAUCAACACAUUUGUGAAGGAAUUUUUACUCGGCAAAAGAGCGCCCCCCAUGGCAGGAGAAAAAAGUCAAUUUUUUCUUGUCCACUAAGGUGAAAAUACACAUUGUUGAGUGCUACGCCUGUAUGUUUUGUCGUAUUGACACAAAAUUUUACAUACACGUGUAUUUACAUAAGAUCUUCGAAAAAGUCAAUGGCCACGUAUCUGUAAAAUGUACGGUUAAAGGGUUAUUUCGCAUUUUUUGCAGAUUCGCACACAUUGGAAUUUCGCUAAUUCCUCCGAAGGCUUUCGUUCCACUGGCACCACAUUUGCUCAGGCCAAUCUACACCCCAUGGCCAUUAAAAGUUAUUCAAAUCAUGACGCUGCACCCCACGGUUUAGGUUCUAGGGGGCGCCAAAUAUAACGCUAAAAUCCACAUAUUUAAAAGUCUUAUAACUUUUUAUUUUUGUCCUCACUGGCCUCCAUGUUUUCUAGGAUGAUGCAAUGUCCAGCCAUCAACACAUUUGUGAAGGAGUUUUUUCUCUUUAAAAGAGCGCCCCCCAUGGCAGGAGAAUAAAGUCAAGUUUUUCCUGUUCAUCAUUCAAUGGCUCAAACGCACUGCUCUCUCGGCAAAAGCGAAAGGAGGAGCAACUUGCCAUUUGGAUAUAUCUUAGCUGUGUUUGUGCCCUCACUCAUGGUCCAGACUUUUUUCAAAUAGGACAUGGAGUUUUUCUGCAGCGAGCGUUUUGGUAGAAACUGCGCCUCCCGUUCAUUAUAAUGGUAAAUGACCACAAACAAGUGCGCACACCAUCUUUGGACCUUGAGUGUGACGCGAUCGGGUGGGGGAGGCGGUCGCGCUGGGGGCGGCGUGACACGGCUCGGGCCCGCCAGUGCCCCAACGGGGCCCUAGUUUCUUCUUUUUCCUCCCCUUUGAACUGGAAAAUGGCCCACUUCCCACUGGCGAAAACUCAUGAAAUUUGGCAGGACGACCGGGCCUGGUGAAAAAUUCGAUAUUCUGAAGUCGCCCAAACAAUAAAAUGCAAAAUGGCUCCAUAGCGCCCCCUAAGGUGGAAAUUCACACUAUUGACUGUCACGCCUGUACGCUUUGUCAUAUUGACACAAAAAUUGACACACAUAUGUAUCUCAAUAAGAUCUACAAAAAAGUCAGUGCGGCCGUAUCUGUCAAAAUUACGGUUAAAGGGUUAUUUCGCAUUUUUUGCCGAUCCGCACACAUUGGAAUUUCGCUAACUCCUCCGAAGGCUUUCGUUCCACCGGCACCACAUUUGCUCAGGCCAAUCUACACCCCGUGGCCAUUAAAAGUUAUCAAAAUCAUGACGCUGCACCCCAAGGUUUAGGUUCUAGGGGGCGCCAAAGAUAACACUAAAAUCCACAUAUUUAAAAGUCUUAUAACUUUUUAUUUUUGUCCUCACUGGCCUCCAAGUUUUCUAGGAUGAUGCAAUGUCCAGCCAUCAACACAUUUGUGAAGGAAUUUUUACUCCCCAAAAGAGCGCCCCCCCAUGGCAGGAGAAAAAAGUCCAUUUUUUCUUGUCCCCUAAGGUGAAAAUACACAUUGUUGAGUGUCAAGCCUAUACGCUUUGUCAAAAUGACACAAAAAUUGACACACACAUGUAACUCAAUAAGAUCUACAAAAAAGUCCAUGCGCGCGUAUCUGUCAAAUGUACAGUUAAAGGGUUAUUCCGCAUUUUUUGCCGAUACGCACACAUUGGAAUUUCGCUAACUCCUCCGAAGGCUUUCGUUCCACCGGCACCACAUUUGCUCAGGCCAAUCUACACCCCAUGGCCAUUAAAAGUUAUUCAAAUCAUGAUGCUGCACCCCAUGGUUUAGGUUCUAGGGGGCGCCAAAAAUAACCCAAAAAUCCACAUUCUUAAAUGUUUUAUAACUUUUUAUUUUUGUCCUCACUGGCCUCCAAGUUUUCUAGGAUGAUGCAAUGUCCAGCCAUCAACACAUUUGUGAAGGAAUUUUUACUCCCCAAAAGAGCGCCCCCCAUGGUAGGAGAAAAAGGCAAUUUUUUCUUGUCCCCUUACAUAAAAAUACACAUUGUUGAGUGUCACGCCUGAACGCUUUGUCAUAUUGACACAAAAAUUGACAAUCAUGUGUAUCUCAAUUAGAUCUACGAAAAAGUCAAAGAGCGCGUAUCUGUAUAAUGUACGGUUAAAGGGCUAUUUUGCAUUUUUUGCCGAUUCGCACACAUUGGAAUGUGGCUAUCUCCUCCUAAGGCUUUCGUCCCACCGAUACCAAAUUUGCUCAGGGCAAUCUACACCCCAUGCCCAUUCAAAGUUGUAAAAAUCAUGACGCUGCACCCCACGGUUUACGUUCUAGGGGGCGCCAAAGAUGACCCAAAAAUCCACAUUCUUAAAAGUCAUUUUGGCCACUGCAGGAGUACAGAGUACUGCAGUUCUAGGGGGCGCCAAAGAUGACCCAAAAAUCCACAUUCUUAAAAGUCUUUUUGGCCACUGCAGGAGUACAGAGUACUGCAGGAUACACACACAUAUACACACACGCCAACAUACACACACACACACACACACACACACACACACACACACACACACACACACACACACACACCCACACUCAGAGUCUGGUUUUUAGCACCUGCAAAAACAUGCUGUUUACAUAUUUGACAAGAAUGCAGAGGCUUCCUUUUGCCGCUGAAAAAAAUCAAAUUUCAAACACAACUUGACUGUUCAUUUCUCCAAAAGACAACCAUGAAGCUCCAUUUCAAACCUGAAGCAGAUAGUUGGUGCAUGUGUACAGUAACCUGAGGGGAGUGAGGUGACUAUUUCUGAGGAGAACAUGAGCAGUGAAGAUUCACCUUGGAGCUAGAACAGGGACGUGCACAUGAUUAUACAGGGGCAGGGGCUCAAGUUUUUUCCAGUCAUUUAUACAAUAUGGAAAUUAAUGUGAAAUUAAACCACAAAUAUGUGUGAUGAACUGUUUUUAAAACUUAAACUUCAAAUAAAAAUUGUAAACUUCAAAACAUAUGCAAAUUUUUAACAAAGAACAUAGUAAUUUACCUCUAUUUACAUCAAAAUGCAGGCAAUGGCCCAGGCGUUCUUUGUAAAAUUAUUUACAAAACACUGUAUAGUCUCACAAAUGUCACUUUUUAUUUAUGCCACUACAAAAAAACAUGAUGUAAAUGAUGCAUGAUGUAAAACAUGAUGUAAAAAACUUGUGUAGAUCCUCCUCUAUGUCAGUCCAUGUGUAAUUUUUCCAUAAUUCUUUGUUUUUUGCAGCAUUUUUGUUAGUGUAACUGCAGAUUGUGCUGACAGUGUCUAUGGCACAAAAAAAAAAAAAAAUUUUUAAUGCCUCAACAUGAACCCGUGGUGGUCUCUGAGGGUGAAACCUGCUAACUGCUGCAGCUCUGUCAGCUUCAGUCUCCCAUGCAGAGCUCUGAGCGCAUGUGUGGCUCUGCACCCUUAGCAGCGUUGCUAACUCCUCAGUAUGGAAAGCCUGCUUCAUGUCAGAGUCUCUAAACUCCAGAAGAAGUCGAUAAAAGUCCCUUUCUUUCUAAAAAAAGUCGUUAGGGGGUCUGAAAAGUCAUUGAAUCUAACAACAAAGUCGCUAGGUUUGCAACUACGUGUCCCAGACUGCAUCCCUGCUGAGAGUCCCUCCCUCCCUUCUCAUGUUGCAGGAAGAACGUAAGCGCCCCCCUUGUCAAUCAGUCACCAUAUAAUUUUGGAUUGGUUGUUGUGGUGAAGUUUUCCACCAAUAGGAGAGAUGUUGUGGUGUGUUUUUUUCUUUUGGCAAGCCUUUUCCGCCUGUAAGAACUGUCGCUAAUGUCUGCAUGCUAUGUUUUCCUGUCUCAUACAGCGCGAUCGAGCGCCGAACGUGAUCAAAAUAAGCAGAAAACAAGUAUCGCGGACAUAAUUUAUCAUAACUCUGGUUUUAUUUGGCCUAUCAACACAAUUUAAAAACUGGUAUAUAGGUUGAGGUCCUCACUUUUGAGAUAAGUUGAAACGGAGAGUCAACGAGGCUCCGUCUUGCAGCUACAUCCGGUUAAAUAUGUCAUGUGACUUGAACGCACACACACAGACACACACACACACACACACACACACACACACACACACACACACACACACACACACACACACACACACACACUCAGAGUCUGGUUUUUAGCACCUGCAAAAACAUGCUAUUUACAUAUUUGACAAGAAUGCAGAGGCUCCUUUUGCCCCUGAAAAAAAUCAAAUUUCAAACACAACUUGACUGGUCAUUUCUCCAAAAGACAACCAUGAAGCUCCAUCCAAACCUGAAGCAGGCAGUUGGUGCAUGUGUACAGUAACCUGAGGGGAGUGAGGUGAGUGCUUCUGAGGAGAACAUGAGCAGUGAAGAUUCACCUUGGAGCUAGAACAGAGACAUGCACAUGAUUAUACAGGGGCAGGGGCUCAAGUUUUUUCCAGUCGUUUAUACAAUAUGGAAAUUAAUGUGAAAUUAAAACACAAAGUAUUAAUAGAAAGGUAAUGACUGUCCUGUGUAGGUGACAGUGAUAUCCAAUAGGCUAGGCACUCACGAGGCUGGCUGUGGCAAGUGUAAGUGAAAGCAACACGCACUGGCAGGAAGAACAGCAAACGCCGAUGAAGGAAAAGGGUCUUUGCAGUGAUGGGCGUUACCAGAGAGGGCGAUGGCCAGAGGACACAAAUGGGACGGGGAGGCAGCACGUUGGGGGGGGGGGGGGGCGCGACACGGCUCGGGCCCGCCAGUGCCCCAACGGGGUCCUAGUUUCUUUUUCCUCCCCUUUGAACUGGAAAAUGGCCCACUUCCCACUGGCGAAAACUCAUGAAAUUUGGCAGGACGACCGGGCCUGGUGAAAAAUUUGAUAUUCCGAAGUCGCCCAAACAAGAAAAUGCAAAAUGGCUCCAUAGCGCCCCCUAAGGUGAAAAAUUCACCUGACGCCUGUACGCUUUGUCAAAAUGACACAAAAAUUGACACACACAUGUAUCUCAAUAAGAUCUACAAAAAAGUCAGUGCGGGCGUAUCUGUCAAAUGUACGGUUAAAGGGUUAUUGCGCAUUUUUUGCCGAUCCGCACACAUUGGAAUUUCGCUAACUCCUCCGAAGGCUUUCGUUCCACCGGCACCACAUUUGCUCAGGCCAAUCUACACCCCAUGGCCAUUAAAAGUUAUUCAAAUCAUGACGCUGCACCCCACGGUUUAGGUUCUAGGGGGCGCCAAAGAUAACACUAAAAUCCACAUAUUUCAAAGUCUUAUAACUUUUUAUUUUUGUCCUCACUGGCCUCCAAGUUUUCUAGGAUGAUGCAAUGUCCAGCCAUCAACACAUUUGUGAAGGAAUUUUUACUCCCCAAAAGAGCGCCCCCCAUGGCAGGAGAAAAAAGUCCAUUUUUUCUUGUCCCCUAAGGUGAAAAUACACAUUGUUGAGUGUCACGCCUGUACGCUUUGUCAAAAUGACACAAAAAUUGACACACACAUGUAUCUCAAUAAGAUCUACAAAAAAGUCAAUGGGCGCGCUGUAUCUGUCAAAUGUACGGUUAAAGGGUUAUUCCGCAUUUUUUGCCGAUUCGCACACAUUGGAAUUUCGCUAACUCCUCCGAAGGCUUUCGUUCCACCGGCACCACAUUUGCUCAGGCCAAAUUACACCCCAUGGCCAUUAAAAGUUAUUCAAAUCAUGACGCUGCACCCCACGGUUUACGUUCUAGGGGGCGCCAAAGAUAACCCAAAAAUCCAAAUUUUUAAAAGUCUUAUAACUUUUUAUUUUUGUCCUCACUGGCCUCCAAGUUUUCUAGGAUGAUGCAAUGUCCAGCCAUCAACACAUUUGUGAAGGAAUUUUUACUCCCUAAAAGAGCGCCCCCCCAUGGCAGGAGAAAAAAGUCCAUUUUUUCUUGUCCCCUAAGGUGAAAAUACACAUUGUUGACUGUCACGCCUGUACGCUUUGGCAAAAUGACACAAAAAUUGACAAUCAUGUGUAUCUCAAUUAGAUCUACGAAAAAGUCAAGAGCGCGUAUCUGUAUAAUGUACGGUAAAAGGGCUAUUUUGCAUUUUUUGCCGAUUCGCACAUAUUGGAAUUUCGCUAACUCCUCCUAAGGCUUUCGUCCCACUGACACCAAAUUUGCUCAGGCCAAUCUACACUCCAUGGCCAUUCAAAGUUGUAAAAAUCAUGACGCGGCACCCCACGGUUUACGUUUUAGGGGGCGCCAAAGAUGACCCAAAUAUACAUUACAGUAGACAAAGUAGUUUUGCCCACUGAGUGGCGCCAAAGGGACUUGUCUGUGGAGUCUGUGAGUCACUAUUGGCCGUUUUUGACUACUUUAGAUUUUACCUUUAUAUUUCCUCUUACAAAAUUUUUACCUUGCCUUGCCUGGUAUAAUUUUUUUCAGCACAACCUCACCUGUGUCAAUUUACAGUUAUUUUAUCAUUUUGACAUACUAUAUUUACACAUUGGACCCAAAUUCACACACAAAACAUAAAAUCCGAGUGGAAAAAAGUAACGUUUUUACUGUGAAAACCACAAAUAUGUGUGAUGAACUGUUUUUAAAACUUAAACUUCAAAUAAAAAUUGUAAACUUCAAAACAUAUGCAAAUUUUUAACAAAGAACAUAGUAAUUUACCUCUAUUUACAUCAAAAUGCAGGCAAUGGCCCAGGCGUUCUUUGUAAAAUUAUUUACAAAACACUGUAUAGUCUCACAAAUGUCACUUUUUAUUUAUGCCACUACAAAAAAACAUGAUGUAAAUGAUGCAUGAUGUAAAACAUGAUGUAAAAAACUUGUGUAGAUCCUCCUCUAUGUCAGUCCAUGUGUAAUUUUUCCAUAAUUCUUUGUUUUUUGCAGCAUUUUUGUUAGUGUAACUGCAGAUUGUGCUGACAGUGUCUAUGGCAAAAAAAAAAAAAAAAAACUGAAAAUGCCUCAACAUGAACCCCUGGUGGUCUCUGAGGGUGAAACCUGCUAACUGCUGCAGCUCUGUCAGCUUCAGUCUCCCAUGCAGAGCUCGGAGCGCAUGUGUGGCUCUGCACCCUUAGCAGCAUUGCUAACUCCUCAGUAAGGAAAGCCUGCUUCAUGUCAGAGUCUCUAAACUCCAGAAGAAGUCGAUAAAAGUCACUUUCUUUCUAAAAAAACGUCGUUAGGGGGUCUGAAAAGUCAUUGAAUCUAACAACAAAGUCGCUAGGUUUGCAACUACGUGUCCCAGACUGCAUCCCUGCUGAGAGUCCCUCCCUCCCUUCUCAUAUUGCAGGAAGAACGUAAGCGCCCGCCCCUUGUCAAUCAGUCACCAUAUAAUUUUGGAUUGGUUGUUGUGGUGAAGUUUUCCACCAAUAGGAGAGAUGUUGUGGUGUGUUUUUUUUUUCCUUUGGCAAGCCUUUUCCGCCUGUAAGACCUGUCGCUAAUGUCUGCAUGCUAUGUUUUCCUGUCUCAUACAGCGCGAUCGAGCGCCGAACGUGAUCAAAAUAAGCAGAAAACAAGUAUCGCGGACAUAAUUUAUCAUAACUCUGGUUUUAUUUGGCCUAUCAACACAAUUUAAAAACUGGUAUAUAGGUUGAGGUCCUCACUUUUGAGAUAAGUUGAAACGGAGAGUCAACGAGGCUCCGUCUUGCAGCUACAUCCGGUUAAAUAUGUCAUGUGACUUGAACACACACACACACACACACACAGACACACACACACACACACACACACACACACACACACACACACACACACACACACACACACACACACACACUCAGAGUCUGGUUUUUAGCACCUGCAAAAACAUGCUAUUUACAUAUUUGACAAGAAUGCAGAGGCUCCUUUUGCCCCUGAAAAAAAUCAAAUUUCAAACACAACUUGACUGGUCAUUUCUCCAAAAGACAACCAUGAAGCUCCAUCCAAACCUGAAGCAGGCAGUUGGUGCAUGUGUACAGUAACCUGAGGGGAGUGAGGUGACUGCUUCUGAGGAGAACAUGAGCAGUGAAGAUUCACCUUAGAGCUAGAACAGAGACGUGCACAUGAUUAUACAGGGGCAGGGGCUCAAGUUUUUUCCAGUUGUUUAUACAAUAUGGAAAUUAAUGUGAAAUUAAAAAACAAAGUAUUAAUAGAAAGGUAAUGACUGUCCUGUGUAGGUGACAGUGAUAUCCAAUAGGCUAGGCACUCACGAGGCUGGCUGUGGCAAGUGUAAGUGAAAGCAACACGCACUGGCAGGAAGAACAGCAAACGCCGAUGAAGGAAAAGGGUCUUUGCAGUGAUGGGCGUUACCAGAGAGGGCGAUGGCCAGAGGACACAAAUGGGACGGGGAGGCAGCGCGUUGGGGGGGGGACGCGACACAGCUCGGGCCCGCCAGUGCCCCAACGGGGUCCUAGUUAGGGCCCGAGCGUAGCUGCUAAGCAGCUGCGAGAGCCCUAUUAUUCCCCAAGUGGUUUUUUUAGGGCCCGAGCGUAGCUGCUAAGCAGCUGCGAGAGCCCUCUUGUUCCUGCAUGUUUCCUUCUUUCGUUAUUAUUUUUCCUCCGCUUUAAACUGGAAAAUGGCCCACUUCCCACUGGCGAAAACUCAGGAAAUUUGGCAGGACGACCGGGCCUGGUGAAAAAUUCGAUAUUCUGAAGUCGCCCAAACAAUAAAAUGCAAAAUGGCUCCAUAGCGCCCCCUAAGGUGAAAAUUCACAUGACGGCUGUACGCUUUGUCAUAUUGACACAAAAAUUGACACACACAUGUAUCUCAAUAAGAUCUACAAAAAAGUCAGUGCGGGCGUAUCUGUCAAAUGUACGGUUAAUGGGUUAUUUUGCAUUUUUUGCAGAUCUGCACACAUUGGAAUUUCGCUAACUCCUCUGAAGGCUUUCGUUCGACCGGCACCACAUUUGCGCAGGCCAAUCUACCCCCCAUGGCCAUUAAAAGUUGUCCAAAUCAUGACGCUGCACCCCACGGUUUACGUUCUAGGGGGCGCCAAAGAUAACCCAAAAUCCACAUUCUUAAAAGUCUUAUAACUUUUUAUUUUUGUCCUCACUGCCCUCCAAGUUUUCUAGGAUGAUGCAAUGUCCAGCCAUCAACACAUUUGUGAAGGAAUUUUUACUCCCCAAAAGAGCGCCCCCCCAUGGCAGGAGAAAAAAGUCAAUUUUUUCUUGUCCCCUUACAUGAAAAUACACAUUGUUGAGUGUCACGCCUGAACGCUUUGUCAUAUUGACACAAAAAUUGACAAUCAUGUGUAUCUCAAUUAGAUCUACGAAAAAGUCAAAAAGCGCGUAUCUGUAUAAUGUAUGGUUAAAGGGCUAUUUCGCAUUUUUUGCCGAUUCGCACACAUUGGAAUGUGGCUAUCUCCUCCUAAGGCUUUCGUCCCACCGAUACCAAAUUUGCUCAGGGCAAUCUACACCCCAUGCCCAUUCAAAGUUGUAAAAAUCAUGACGCUGCACCCCACGGUUUACGUUCUAGGGGGCGCCAAAGAUGACCCAAAAAUCCACAUUCUUAAAAGUCAUUUUGGCCACUGCAGGAGUACAGAGUACUGCAGUUCUAGGGGGCGCCAAAGAUGACCCAAAAAUCCACAUUCUUAAAAGUCUUUUUGGCCACUGCAGGAGUACAGAGUACUGCAGGAUACACACACACACACACACACACACACACACACACACACACACACACUCAGAGUCUGUUUUUUAGCACCUGCAAAAACAUGCUGUUUACAUAUUUGACAAGAAUGCAGAGGCUUCCUUUUGCCCCUGAAAAAAAUCAAAUUUCAAACACAACUUGACUGUUCAUUUCUCCAAAAGACAACCAUGAAGCUCCAUCCAAACCUGAAGCAGAUAGUUGGUGCAUGUGUACAGUAACCUGAGGGGAGUGAGGUGACUAUUUCUGAGGAGAACAUGAGCAGUGAAGAUUCACCUUGGAGCUAGAACAGGGACGUGCACAUGAUUAUACAGGGGCAGGGGCUCAAGUUUUUUCCAGUCAUUUAUACAAUAUGGAAAUUAAUGUGAAAUUAAACCACAAAUAUGUGUGAUGAACUGUUUUUAAAACUUAAACUUCAAAUAAAAAUUGUAAACUUCAAAACAUAUGCAAAUUUUUAACAAAGAACAUAGUAAUUUACCUCUAUUUACAUCAAAAUGCAGGCAAUGGCCCAGGCGUUCUUUGUAAAAUUAUUUACAAAACACUGUUUAGUCUCACAAAUGUCACUUUUUAUUUAUGCCACUACAAAAAAACAUGAUGUAAAUGAUGCAUGAUGUAAAACAUGAUGUAAAAAACUUGUGUAGAUCCUCCUCUAUGUCAGUCCAUGUGUAAUUUUUCCAUAAUUCUUUGUUUUUUGCAGCAUUUUUGUUAGUGUAACUGCAGAUUGUGCUGACAGUCUAUGGGAAAAAAAAAAAAACUGAAAAUGCCUCAACAUGAACCCCUGGUGGUCUCUGAGGGUGAAACCUGCUAACUGCUGCAGCUCUGUCAGCUUCAGUCUCCCAUGCAGAGCUCGGAGCGCAUGUGUGGCUCUGCACCCUUAGCAGCGUUGCUAACUCCUCAGUAAGGAAAGCCUGCUUCAUGUCAGAGUCUCUAAACUCCAGAAGAAGUCGAUAAAAGUCCCUUUCUUUCUAAAAAAAGUCGUUAGGGGGUCUGAAAAGUAAUUGAAUCUAACAACAAAGUCGCUAGGUUUGCAACUACGUGUCCCAGACUGCAUCCCUGCUGAGAGUCCCUCCCUCCCUUCUCAUGUUGCAGGAAGAACAUAAGCGCCCGCCCCUUGUCAAUCAGUCACCAUAUAAUUUUGGAUUGGUUGUUGUGGUGAAGUUUUCCACCAAUAGGAGAGAUGUUGUGGUGUGUUUUUUUUUUUCUUUUGGCAAGCCUUUUCCGCCUGUAAGACCUGUCGCUAAUGUGUGCAUGCUAUGUUUUCCUGUCUCAUACAGCGCGAUCGAGCGCCGAACGUGAUCAAAAUAAGCAGAAAAAAAGUAUCGCGGACAUAAUUUAUCAUAACUCUGGUUUUAUUUGGCCUAUCAACACAAUUUAAAAACUGGUAUAUAGGUUGAGGUCCUCACUUUUGAGAUAAGUUGAAACGGAGAGUCAACGAGGCUCCGUCUUGCAGCUACAUCCGGUUAAAUAUGUCAUGUGACUUGAACGCUGGGGAGCGUCAAUCGAAUCGAAUCAAACCUAACUCUCAGAUGAAUCUUCAAAAUUCACCUCAGAAAUAUGCUUAUUAUUCUUCUCAGAGUACUGCAGGAUACACACACACACACACACACACAGACACACACACACACACACGCACACACACACACACACACUGAGUCUGUUUUUUAGCACCUGCAAAAACAUGCUAUUUACAUAUUUGACAAGAAUGCAGAGGCUUCCUUUUGCCCCUGAAAAAAAUCAAAUUUCAAACACAACUUGACUGCUCAUUUCUCCAAAAGACAACCAUGAAGCUCCAUCCAAACCUGAAGCAGGCAGUUGGUGCAUGUGUACAGUAACCUGAGGGGAGUGAGGUGACUGCUUCUGAGGAGAACAUGAGCAGUGAAGAUUCACCUUGGAGCUAGAACAGGGACGUGCACAUGAUAAUACAGGGGCAGGGGCUCAAGUUUUUUCCAGUCGUUUAUACAAUAUGGAAAUUAAUGUGAAAUUAAAAGUAUGACUGUCCUGUGUAGGUGACAGUGAUAUCCAAUAGGCUAGGCACUCACGAGGCUGGCUGUGGCAAGUGUAAGUGAAAGCAACACGCACUGGCAGGAAGAACAGCAAACGCCGAUGAAGGAAAAGGGUCUUUGCAGUGAUGGGCGUUACCAGAGAGGGCGAUGGCCAGAGGACGCGAAUGGGACGGGGAGGCAGCGCGUUGGGGGGGGGGGGGGGGGGCACGGCUCGGGCCCGCCAGUGCCCCAACGGGGCCCUAGUCUUUGUUUCUUUCUUUCUUCUUUUUCCUCCCCUUUGAACUGGAAAAUGGCCCACUUCCCACUGGCGAAAACUCAUGAAAUUUGGCAGGACGACCGGGCCUGGUGAAAAAUUUGAUAUUCCGAAGUCGCCCAAACAAGAAAAUGCAAAAUGGCUCCAUAGCGCCCCCUAAGGUGAAAAUUCACACUAUUGACUGUCACGCCUUUACGCUUUGUCAUAUUGACACAAAAAUUGACACACACAUGUAUCUCAAUAAGAUCUACAAAAAAGUCAGUGCGGGCGUAUCUGUCAAAUGUACGGUUAAAGGGUUAUUCCGCAUUUUUUGCCGAUCCGCACACAUUGGAAUUUCGCUAACUCCUCCGAAGGCUUUCGUUCCACCGGCACCACAUUUGCUCAGGCCAAUCUACACCCCAUGGCCAUUAAAAGUUAUUCAAAUCAUGACGCUGCACCCCACGGUUUAGGUUCUAGGGGGCGCCAAAGAUAACCCUAAAAUCCACAUAUUUAAAAGUCUUAUAACUUUUUAUUUUUGCCCUCACUGGCCUCCAAGUUUUCUAGGAUGAUGCAAUGUCCAGCCAUCAACACAUUUGUGAAGGAAUUUUUAAUCCCCAAAAGAGCGCCCCCCCAUGGCAGGAGAAAAAAGUCCAUUUUUUCUUGUCCCCUAAGGUGAAAAUACACAUUGUUGAGUGUCACGCCUGUACGCUUUGUCAUAUUGACACAAAAUUUGACACACACAUGUAUCUCAAUAAGAUCUACGAAAAAGUCAAUGCGCGCGUAUCUGUCAAAUGUACGGUUAAAGGGUUAUUCCGCAUUUUUUGCUGAUCCGCACACAUUGGAAUUUCGCUAACUCCUCCUAAGGCUGGCGUUCCACCGGCACCACAUUUGCUCAGGCCAAUCUACACCCCAUGGCCAUUAAAAGUUAUUCAAAUCAUGACGCUGCACCCCACGGUUUAGGUUCUAGGGGGCGCCAAAGAUAACCCUAAAAUCCACAUAUUUCAAAGUCUUAUAACUUUUUAUUUUUGCCCUCACUGGCCUCCAAGUUUUCUAGGAUGAUGCAAU
rnacentral:lncRNA from 1 species